UUCUGCUAUCUACAUCUAACGAUAAAACGAAAAAAUAAAAUAAAGAUAGAAGAUGGAGUAUUGGAAAUUAGCGUGAUCAAGAAACGAGCUCGUAAAUGAGACAGUUCACACUCGUGUUCGCCAAUCUGUCGGUUUAAAGUUACGUUAUAGUGUGAUAGUCGGACACAAGGGAGGCUCUGCUAUGAUCUACAAACGCCUGACGAAAGAACAAAGAUAACGUGACAGAAGGGGCAGGCGGCCGAGUAUUGGAAAUUGGCGUGAUCAAGAAACGAGCUCGUAAAUGAAACAGUUCACACUCGUGUUCGCCAAUCUGUCGGUUUAAAGCUUAGUUGCGUUACGUUAUAGUGUGAUAGUCGGACACAAGGGAGGCCCUGCUAUGAUCUACAAACGUCUGACGAAAGAACAAAGAUAACGUGACAGAAGAGGGAGACGGCCGAGUAUUGGAAAUUAGCGUGAUCAAGAAACGAGCUCGUAAAUGAGACAGUUCAUACUCGUGUUUGCCGAUCCGUUCCGGUUUAGGGGUUGGGUUAGGCGGUGGACUGAAAGCACGGCAGGCGGAGCACCGGGGAUGGUUGGCGUUAGCAGCGAGAAACGGAGAGCAGGGACGACAAGGUUGAGAGAGCUACCGCUCCGGGGUGUACGGGGUUGAAGCAGAGGGAGCCACACGGGUAUUAGCAUAUUAAUUUCGCAGAGACUGCGACGCGCAGAUAAAGCAUCUUAGGUAGGCGAACUUCGGUGAUGAAUCAAGCUCAUACCGCUGGUAAUUAUUCAGAAAGUUCAUCGCCAACGGGGCGAUCCGCACGGGACGCGCGGCAACGAAACAAAAAUAUUUUUCUUCCCAGGACCUCCAGGUAACAUCGCUCAUCGUUAUUCAUCUUUUUCUUCGUCUCGAGAGCGUUCCUUUUCGCCCCCGAAAAAAAAAAAAAAAAAAAAAAAAAAAAAA